rnacentral:rRNA from 1 species
UACGAAGGGGGGCUAGCGUUGUUCGGAAUUACUGGGCGUAAAGGGCGCGUAGGCGGUGUGUCAAGUCAGGCGUGAAAGCCCCCGGGCUCAACCUGGGAACCGCGCUUGAGACUGGCACGCUCGAGUUCGGGAGAGGAUGGUGGAAUUCCCAGUGUAGAGGUGAAAAUUCGUAGAUAUUGGGAAGAACACCGAUGGCGAAGGCAGCCAUCUGGACCGACACUGACGCUGAGGCGCGAAAGCGUGGGGAGCAAACAGG